rnacentral:misc_RNA from 1 species
UUUUAUUGAUCCCCCUUAUAUGCUAAGCAAUGUAUCAUUUAAGUACCCCAAAAUAAAUACAUGUAGUCACCCAAAUAUAUCCAAAACAAUUUUACUCUUAGAGCAUGUAAAAUGUACAGCCAAUAUUUUCAUCACAUUGAUUUUGCUACUUGUUCAGGGCAAUCUUUAAGGAGUGAAUUACGCAAUGCUAUAAUUUUUUAAUUUUUUAUUAAUAAUUCAUAAAUUUCAAGUAGCUUGGUUUGAUUUUGUUUGUAUUAUUUGUAUGACUGAUUUUUAAUGUUGUACACAACUUAAUUUGUUAUCU